UCCCGCCACAUUAUUUAUGUAUGUGCCUGUCCCAAGUCAGGAGCCUGUAAUUCAGUGGUUGUCGUUUGUUUAAGUGUUACAUAUUUGUUUUUCGAUCAUUGUUUUACAUAAAUAAGGUCGUUAUUUUUCUCGUUUGAAUUGUUUUACAUUGUCUUAUCGGGGCCUUUUAUAGCUGACUAUGCGGUAUGGGCUUUGCUCAUUGUUGAAGGCCGUACGGUGCCCUAUAGUUCUUAAUGUCUGUUUUAUGUUGGUAUUUUGUGGAUAGUUGUCUCAUUGGCAAUCAUACCACAUCUUCUUCUUUUAUAUUAUUCAAUCCGCUGCUAUCUUCAUUUUCUAUAUGUAUCUUGAUUUUUGAUAGGCAAUUCAUCACACGUUAGCAUAUUAAUACGAAAUGCAUUGCAGAACAGAGCAGUUAAGAGACAGAUAAAUGGCUGCCAAUAGUCAAGGUUAUUUCAGGAAGGCUUAUCUGUGGGUCUCAUUGGGGUCUAAGCGUGAUACAGGAUGGCCGAUUUUUUGUAAGCGGGACACGUGAAAGUCAAAAUAUUGUGUCAUGAAAACGGGAAAUGGGGUUUAGCCGGACCCGGGAAAUGACAAAAAAAAAUGAGAAUUGCUUACGCACAUAGUGUCAGCGGGAUACGGGAAUCUGACAAAACAGUAAGCGGGAUCCGGGAUCGGAAUCCCCCAAUGAGACCCCCUUUAUCUUAUAGAUCAUUCAAAAAUUUGAUGACGGCUAAAUAGCAGGGAAUGUCACCCGUUCGAUCCACAUUACUUACGUCUGAUCAUUCCGGAAAUAUUUUUAGAAAUGCAGCCAUAUAUCUGGCAUGUGAUUUAUUCCCG
rnacentral:lncRNA from 1 species